GGGGAUGUAGCUCAUCUGGUAGAGCGCGUGCUUAGCAUCUUACUCCUGACUCACUCGCUCACUUGGAGGGAUGAUGGGGACACCACAAUGUUCAUGCACGAGGUACUGGGUUCGACUCCCAGCUUCUCCA